AUGGGCAGCAGCUUUAGGCACUUGCUUGGCUCCGAAGGGGGCUUGCAGCCGGCCCAGCCCCAGCAUCCACUAAUUGCCUACGAAGAAGUUUUAAAAGGGGGUUCCAAGCCAAACCAGUGCCAAGGAAGAAGCAAGCUCAUGGAAGAGCAGAGUAUGUGGCUGGCAGUACUUCUGAACUCAACUUUGAGAGAUUUUUGGGACAAGACCUGCCCAGAUGAACACAGGCACCCCUGGGAUGUUCCCUCUGUUCACCUUUGGAGUGUCAGUGGUCUGGGAUUGCUUCUGGGGAUGCUGCUCUCAAGGAGUCAGGAUUGCCCCGGCCACUUAUCCCAGACCUCUUUCUGCAAGAUGCUUCUUCUUCUCAUCAGCUGGUUUAGGUUCCCAGAAAUGUGCAUGGCAUGGUCAGAGGAGGAAUGCUCAGGGAGAAGUAAGCAGCUCCACUGUUAA
rnacentral:lncRNA from 1 species